CAUUCAUCAUGCUUUUCAGCCUUUUCUCCUUUCUCACGUUUGCUUCUCUACCUCUCUACUUCGUUUGCUCAUUGCUCUGUUUGCCUCUCUAAACAAAACCCUCAAAUCAGACAGUUGAUACCACAUCUGCGGCGCACCCACAAAACCCUCGGAGCUCGACGCACCCACAACCUCAAAUCGGAGGCGCUUCUUCUCAUCCAAUCCAACUCGUCAACGCCACUCUCUAGCUUAUUCUUCCAAUCCAUAUUCAAAUCAGCGGCGCACUCAUAUCCAAUCCAACUCGGCGGCGCUUCAUCUCUUCCCGGAUGACUCGGCGGCACUUCUUCUCUUCCAUUCUAAAUCGGCGGUGCCACCCACAAUCUUCAGGCAGACAAAUUGGCAAAGUUUGCCACUUCAGGAUUUAUGAGGGAUGCAUUUCAAGCGUCUUGAGACAUAAAGUGAUUUGCAGCUCAACCAUUUCAAACGGCAGAAAGACGUGUUAGAUUGAAUAGGCAGUAGGACUUAUGAUGUUGAAUACAUUCAAAUUAUUUUGUACAGUUGCAAGUUAUUUAAAAAUUGCACAAUAAGCAUUGUAUUUAAUUAGUGAAUUCUGUUUUUACUUUAGUGUACUAUCUUUUGCAAUAUGCCAUGUGAUAUUUGUAAUGUGAGUUCACAAUAAUAAAACACUGUUUACUUCA